UUCCCGACUGUUUACCGGAAAGAAUGAAGAAAUGGUGGGAUUUUUUGGGAAGUCAGCCUCCCGUGCUUUCCCGAGAAGUGUGGAGGCGGGGCCCUUCUGUCUAAGACUCGUCCACCGAAAAUAACCUGCAUGAGGGAGGGAAGAGACUUCCAGAGUAAAAGUGAGAGAGGGAGGAGGAAAGGAUAGCGCCCGAAACAUCGGAGAGGGGGACGACAAGAAGAAGAAGAGAAACGGAGUGUCUGCGUUGCAAUGGAAUUAAAACUGCGCAAUUUCAUAUUCUCUCCGCCGCUCUGCCUGUGUUGGCCAGCGGCUGCAGAUCAGCCACACACCGCCUCAUGGCUGCUGGAAAUGCGAACGCGUUCGUCCAGCUUGCGCGGAUUUCCGCGCCAUACACCACUGUCCGCCGUUUUGACAAACAUUGUCUGGCAAUUUUUGUGAUCAUGUUUGAGCUACAUGGCAAACGUUUGAGGAAGAAAUAGCUUGAAACAAGCCACAGUGACGGCCACAUCUUCGCUUCGGUUUCAUAACGUAUCUGCGCGUGUGGAAGUGCAUCCUCACGCCGUCAUUAGGAACAUGCGUAUCGAUUUGGAAUGCAUAAUUAAACCUUCAAACAUGACCAUGCUCAUGCUGCGUGACUCUCCAGGCGCCCAUUCGGGUGGGAAGAGGGGAGUGCGUGACAACCGUCUUUUGGGGAUGCAACACUGUACAAUUUACCACUAUGGAAAAGGGACACGGCACCUCCCAGGCACUCUCUGAUUUUGGCAGCAGAGAAGCGCAAGCAAACCUGAAUGCUGAUGAACGAGCUGGGCAGUACCAAAGCCCGUCUUAUUAGACAUUCUCUGGCAGUACCAACACCGCGAGGGUCAGAGAGUUUGUCUGAGGAUCACAACAGCCAAUCAUGACAGAGUUUCUCGUGCCUCUUGAGGGGCAGACCAAAUGGCCAAUCGGCUUUUACGAUGGGACUCUGCCCUCCCUCCCUCUCUCUCUCCCUUCUGGGACCUCCAGACGUCCCCGCGUCCUGGGUCUGUCGGUUCACCUCUCACCCAGGCAGCUCUCUCCUCCUCCCCAGGUGGAGGCCACCACGCUGGGCAGCUAUCAAAGCACUCACCAGAUGACCGGCCCUAGUACACGUACACACACACAAACACGCACACACAGAAAUGAACACACACAGACCCACAAUGCCAUAUUCAGUCGCCUCUUAUACUAACCCUUUUGUAUCUCCCUUAAGAGAAUCCAGAUGCUUAGGCAUGCACGUGUCUUUACCUCUCUGUGUGUGUGUGAGUGUGUUAUCUAUCAGGCAUAGCUAUAGCUUCUUGCUCCCAGGAUCUUGUAGCUGUACAGUUGUGUGUACUUCAAUAGAAAGGAAAGUUUGGUGUGUGUGUGUGUGCAUGUGUCUGCAUGUCCCCAAUCAGGUAUGUCUCUAUGCUCCUAAAGAAUGUCUGUCUGUGUGUGUGAGUGUGUGUUUUAAAAAGGGUACAUAUUUGUGCAUGUGUGUGUCAAAAACCGUGUGCUUUUAGCAGCGUGUGCUGAUUCAGCUUAUGCAGAGCGUUUAAUAGGGUCUGCAUGGCAGAUCCGCCAGCUUUUAAUAGGGUCUGUGUGCUUUCUGGGCUCAUGUUCAGCCUCUUUGCCCAGCCAAGACUCUAGCCAGGGACUGU